UAGUCCACGCCGUAAACGAUGAUUACUCGCUGUAGGCGAUACACAGUCUGUGGCUAAGCGAAAGUUUUAAGUAAUCCACCUGGGGAGUACGAUCGCAAGAUUGAAACUCAAAGGAAUUGACGGGGGCCCGCACAAGCGGAGGAACAUGUGGUUUAAUUCGAUGAUACGCGAGGAACCUUACCUGGACUUAAAUGUACGUUGCAUGGAUUAGAGAUAGUCCUUUCUUCGGACUACGUACAAGGUGCUGCAUGGUUGUCGUCAGCUCGUGCCGUGAGGUGUCGGGUUAAGUCCCAUAACGAGCGCAACCCCUAUCCUUAGUUGCCAGCGGGUCAUGCCGGGGACUCUGAGGAGACUGCCACCGUAAGGUGUGAGGAAGGUAAGGAUGACGUCAAGUCAGCAUGCCCCUUACGCUCUGGGCUACACACGUGCUACAAUGGUCGUGACAAAGAGUUGCUAGUCUGCGAAGGCAAACCAAUCUCAUAAACGCGGCCUUAGUUCGGAUUGCAGG
rnacentral:rRNA from 1 species